GAAAAGGAGGUAGGGUUACCGCCUCUUUUUCAUCUCCCACUAUUCCCCUUCUCUCUUUCAUUCUCCUACCUUCGUUGCUCUUUUAUUAGGUUCUCGGUGCCAAAUUAGAAGUGGGUAAUUACUAGUUUUGUUCAUCUCUCUAAGAUCCAUCAAAGACCUGAAAUGCAUGGUGAUGGCUACUUGUAUUGGAUGAUCUUGGUAGGAUUUUAGUGAUCAUUCAUUGUUGCUAUUGAAUUAUUGCUGAGAUCUCAAUUUUGACAUGGGCUCUCUAUGAUCUUUUUUUGCCUUUCUCAAUUUCGCUGUCAGAACUCUUCAAAGGUUGACAUUGUCUUGGCCUGCAUUGUGUUGCAUAAUUACAUAUCAAGUUUUGACCCAAAAAUAUGACAUUCUCUAUGAGCCAUACAAAAUUGAAGAGGAGGAUGGUGAAGUGGCAGAUUCAGAUGAUAAUAACAUUGUUGCUUUUUCACAAUCCAUGACUCAAAGAAAACAUAAACAAACAAGAAAUGAGUGGAAGCAUCGUAGGGAUGAAAUAGGUUCGGCUAUGUGGGUUGACUAUUGUGGGAAGUAUCAUGGAGGAGACACCACUGAGUCUGGAAUGUCUUAGUUUUUUUUUAUAAAGUCUAAAGUUGUCUACUUCUUACCAUUGUUUUUUGAGUUGUUUCAAACAGUGUAUAACUAUUCUAGAACUUAGUGUACUUUAUGCAAUGUAAUAUGUAAUACUUACUAAUUUCUCUUUAUGUAAUAUAAUGUGUUUUAUUUUUA